rnacentral:rRNA from 1 species
UACGUAGGGGGCAAGCGUUUGUCCGGAAUUAUUGGGCGUAAAGAGCGUGUAGGCGGUCCGGUAAGUCCGCUGUGAAAGUCCAGGGCUCAACCCUGGAAUGCCGGUGGAUACUGCCGGGCUAGAGUCCGGAAGAGGCGAGUGGAAUUCCUGGUGUAGCGGUGAAAUGCGCAGAUAUCAGGAGGAACACCGAUGGCGAAGGCAGCUCGCUGGGACGGUACUGACGCUGAGACGCGAAAGCGUGGGGGAGCAAACAGG